ensembl:snoRNA small nucleolar RNA SNORA42/SNORA80 family
GCAUGGUAAUGGAUUUAUGGUGGGCCCUUCUCCGUGGGCUUCUCAUAGUGUACCCAUGCCAGAGUAAAUUGCUGCCUCGAACCAUUGCCCAGCCUCCUUGCCUGUGGGCUGUCAGCACUGAAGAGGGUUGUACAGUA